rnacentral:rRNA from 1 species
UACGGGGGGGGCAAGCGUUGUUCGGAAUUACUGGGCGUAAAGGGCGCGUAGGCGGCCAACUAAGUCCGACGUGAAAUCCCCAGGCUUAACCUGGGAACUGCGUCGGAUACUGGAUGGCUUGAAUUCGGGAGAGGGAUGCAGAAUUCCAGGUGUAGCGGUGAAAUGCGUAGAUAUCUGGAGGAAUACCAGUGGCGAAGGCGGCAUCCUGGACCGGUAUUGACGCUGAGGCGCGAAAGCUAGGGUAGCAAACGGG